rnacentral:sRNA from 1 species
CACACACACCACUGCUUAUAUUACAAAAAAACAUUUUGCACUCAACUUUUCUUCAUGUAAAUGGAUUUGAGUCUCUUUCACAAAUGUUCAUUACUGAAUCCUGGCUUGGACACAGGACCUAAUUAAUCAUCUCUUUGGGUCUGCUUUUGUUCUCUGUGUCAGCAACAAAUCCUUUCCCAGAAAAAAAAAAUCCUUCAAGCUUUGCCCUAGGAGUAAGGCACGGGAGAAAAGGAGGGGCCCUAUUCCUGUAGAAGCCCAUUGUUUAUUUAACCCAGUGGCUGAAUUAUAAUCAGGCUUUCAUUGUUUUGUUUUUGAGGCUAAGAAGAGAAUUAAGCUAGUUCUAUUUAGUGGCUUAGAAGGGAGAGGGUCAAGUCUGGGUGUGCAUGAAAACCUCCCUUUCUUUGUUGCUUAGUUUGUGUGUGUGUGUGUGUGUGUGUGUGUGUGUGUGUGUGUGUGUGUGUGUGUGUUUGUGUUAUGUUUGUAUGUGUGGUAUGUAUGUGAAUGAUCAUACUGAGGUCAGGGGUUGAUGUUGGGUUUCUUCCAUGAUACCUACCCACUUUGUCUCUUGAGGGGUAGUAUCUGUUCCUACACCUGGAACUCACCAGUUCUUACCAGUCUAGCUAGCCUACUUGCCCUGUGAUUCCCCCAUCUCUGUCUCUUAAAUGCUGGGAUUAGCGACAACCACCACACCUACCAGGCUUUUUUAUGGAUUCCGGGGAUCCAAACACUGUUGCUUAUGCUUUUAAGGCAAGCAUUGUGUCCACUGAGUGACAUCCCCAACCCUCUAUUUCUUAAAUACACUUUUUGUAGGUAGUAUGAAGAGGAGGGGGAGAGGGAUAUGAAGGAGAAGCUGAGAGAAAAGGAGGAAAGGCAGCUCCAAGUACAAUGCUUUACUCUUUGAAUAUGAGGGUAAUGUUUUCUAGGCUCGUCUGAUAGUCCUUUCUAAGUCUGAAAUCGGCACACACAGAGUACCACGAAGCUUGCAGAAUUCUUCAGUGCUCUCUGUUACUGACAGCUCACAGUGCCUUGCCAUCACCACCCUAAGUAACUCUCCUAUGAGUGAACUCUCCCCACCAUGCUGCAACCCAAGAAGCAUCAUUGAUACUACAGGAAAUGAAAGACAACAUAAGAACCUAGAUCUAUGAUUUGAGCCAUGGAUUCCAGGCGCCAUGUUUAGCCCCUCACAGUGCCUGGAAGGUGGCACGUGGUUGUUGUCAAGUUCAAUAUUCCGUUCUUACUUGUGUCUUCUUGCCUGCUGGUAGUUGUGAACUCCAUUUCCAGGCUGUAGAGGUUAGGCUUGUCUCCACAUCACACCAACAGCUCAAACUCCCUCUAAGUGCUUUCCUAUGGUACAGAUAGGGGCUGCCAAGUGGCAAUGGCCUCAGCCAAAAUAGAUUUCCAAGUGGUUUGGCCUGAAGGACCCUGAUCUACUAGGUGCCAGAUUUGACCAUGAGACAUGGGGUAAAGAACCCCUUUCUGGGUUUCCCAAGAAGACAGAUAAACUUGGCCUGACACUAAUCAAAAAUCUCUGGGUUUGUAUAACACAUUUUCUCAUUUUAUUUGAUUUUUAGCCUUGUAUUUAAGUGCCUGUCACAACGACCCAUAGGAGAACAAAAGGCAACACAUGUCUACUGCAGUUUAUACUGAAUGAGUGGAAUCAUAAUCACAUGACGGUCAGGAAUGGACAAGGCCACACAUGCUGUGGCUGAUGGCAGGGACAGCCUGGGGCUCCGUGAGUGGAUUCCGUGUCCAGCACUCAUCGCUGGCCUAUACCACCUGCUGCUGUACAUAUGUUGGCUGUCCUUCCAGAGAGAAAGGGGGCUGUUUAGGGCAGAAAAUGCUGCAUCGUCAGCUGCUGACUCUCCAUUCCCGUGGAGAGAGGCGGAUGCUGAUGGUGCACGAUACAGAGAAAAGCGAUAAUUUCUUUUUCAUUUGAGAACAUGUUUUCAGGUGAGGAAUCGACCUCUUCCAUCAUACUCUGCUCUGUUUUGAAUAAAAUAAAGAGGACUGUGUAAAGGAAUGAUUUUUUUUAACCACUGCAUUAUGUCCUUUGCGUAUCAUGUCUCCUCUUAGCUAAGAACAGCAUUAUCCACUCUCCAUACGUAAAGGUACAGGGUCCGAAGUGCCGCGCACAUCUCGCAAAGCCUCGUAGCUGCAAGUGUGCCUUCCACACUCCCCUGAGCUCGUUGAUCUCCUUUGUAAGAUUCCGGAGGGCUAGGAAGAUGUCCCAGUGGGUGAGAUAUUGGAUGUGGAAGCAAAUUCGAAGAUGUCGGCUUAGAUCCCAGCACUCACGGAGAAAGCCACGUGUGGAGGACGCUCGGUAUUGCAGUUAAACCAGAUCAGCGUUUGUUCUCAGGUUCAUUUGCCGUAGUAAGGCCAACCUCGGGUUGCUGGUACAGAAGAGAAGGCUGCUGGUAAGAAGGUGACAGGCGACAGAUGGAGCCUAUUGAAUUGGGAAUAGGAUAAGCCAUGUACUGCCUAAGGCCACUUGAUCAAAGCUCUUUCACAAAGACUUCUUAGCUGUUCUGCGAUGCUACUGAGUGCCAUCUGGAACCCUGAGCUGAGAUGCUGUUCUUCAAGAGAAUAACAUGGUGCCAGAAGAGAAGUUCCUGUGUCCAAAUGGCCACUGAGGAAGGAGCCUUUGUUACCAUAAGAACAAAAGGAAGAGAUACCUUUCUUUUCUGCUGUUAAAAGAACCUACUUUUGAGACUAGAACUCCCUCAUUCUCUUAUAUCCAGACUAAACAGAAGGUACCGAGGACUUCGAGUCCUGGGAGUUUGCCAGUGAGCAGGAAAUUUGAGUUCCAGUCACAACAGGCCGCAGCGAGUAGGCACAGGAAGAACUAUGAUUCUAGGAUCUAGAGUGGAGGUACACAACCCUUUUCCAUCAAUCAUCGCGUGCCUUCCGCUGCCACCAUCAAGCAACGUGUUUGGUGGCCAACCCCCUCCUCUCUCAAGAGACUGUCUGGAGGCCAGUGUAGCAUUGGGAGCUUCUGGGAUCAUUCACGUAUGUACAGACAAGUUUAAAUAUUGAGGCUGUCUGUCUAGACAGCUCUUCCAACCUCUUUACUUCCCCAUGGGACCUGCCUUUACUCUCCUUCCAUCCAGCUGUGGAGAUGAUUGACAUUUUUGGAAUCCUCGGAGACAUAGUGCUUUCCAAACACGGAGUCUUAGAGUGAGCAAAGGAGAGAACGGAACGGUGAUUGGGGGACUUUAUUUCUAGGGAGAUUUCCCAAGUUAGGGACUGCUGUUACCCUCAUGGAAUGUGGCACAAAGAAAUCAGAUUCCAAAGCUAAUGGUAUGUCCGUUAUUUUACUUGAAGAAUGAGGAACAUCUUUUCAGUUUCCAACUGGCUUCCAGUAUAUGAAGGCAAAUUCUGUAUGAAAUCACUAGGGUUGUUUUCCUGGUGUCUCAUCAACUGGAUGGCUUGAGUCACAGGAGUGGACUAUCUGAUAUCUCUAGAGACCAAUAAUAGUGUUAGCAGGGUUGAUGCCUUCUGGAAAAUGGAAGGGGCAUUCUGCUUCUUCACUCCUUGGUUAUAUACAUGGUUGCCCUCUCCCUGGCAUCUCCACAUUGUAUUUUCAUUAUGUUUACCUGUCUUGGUGUCCAAACUUCUCAAAUUUCAUAAGGACACUAGUAAGACCACCGACAGUCCUAAUGGUCUCAUUUUAAUUGGAAUGCCUCAGUAAAGACACUCAUCUCGAGCUGCGCUUGCAUUUGGAAGGACUUGGGACCAGGGCUUCCACGUAUUAAUUUUUGAGGAGAGGAGUAUAAAUGGAGUAUAAAUUAAGCUGGACAAACUCUAAAUUGGCGCUUUAUAGGUUUCUGCCACUUUUAUAGCCUCACAUCUUCACUGUAUUUACAUGUAUUGCUCCUGUAAUAUUUACUAAGAAAGUGGCUUUAAUGAAAUAGAUUUACUGAAAGGAUGGGUUUGUUUAUUAAUAGAAAGCUAAUGCUUUUUAAAGUAUCCGUUAUAAUGAUUAUUCAAAUUACAUCUAUCCUUCAUUUCUCUGCCAUCUAGGGAUUUGUUCAUCUGCUUUAAGAAGCACGGAGAGCUAUGGAAGACCUUUGGAUAAAUAAAUUAGGAUGAGAUAGGAUGCAUUUAACCUGAAAGCUCAUUGCUUAUACGGAUUUUAAAGAGCAAAGGCCUUGGAUUGGGUACAAGGGGUUUGUCCCCUGACCCACUGCCUUCGCAGCUAUGACCUGUACGAUAAUUAGUCUGCUGAGCAAAUAGGCCAGAAACAGUAACUGGGCCCUGGUGCUCUCCUCGAACCAACAUUCCAAGGACCGUUCAUUGUACUACUGAACCCUGGAAGACAUUGAGAUUCUGAACAUGACAGUCUAGGAAGUGACCAUUUUGUGCACUUGCGUCCACGCCUGCCACCUGCGUGCCUGGCGUAUGUGUCUGCAAAAUUUGAACCAAUAGGUCAGAUGAGCCGCUAGACAGUGGCUUGGGUUGCCCUUUCUUGUCACAGCAAAGAGCCACUUCUUUAGGUAGUUUUGGGUGAACUUUCACCUUCUUUUCUCCCUUCCCCUUCUCCACCUGCUUCUCACCUCAGGCCUUUAAAGGGCUCGAGUGAACUGCUACAUCCAAAGACAUCUUUCUUUAGAGACAUUAGGUAUCCAAAUAAAUGUUUACAUUCCUCCUACAGUUCUUCCCUUUCUUCUUGGUAUGAUGAGUUCAUAUCAUUUACCGCAUCUUAUUUUUUUAUGAACUAUUUUCUUUUUUUAACAGUUUUAGUUCUUUGUGAAUUUCACAUCAUGCACCCCAAUCCUACCCAUCUCCCCCUUUGCUUGUAUCUGCCCUCCACCCAUGCAACCUUCCCCACAGCAGAGAAAAGAAAUCGCAUUGUGGGAGCUGUAGAAUGUCAGUGUGGCCCACACUAUAUCCUUUUGUUCACACUUCUUUGCAAAUGUUCAUUGCAAUGACUUGUCGGUCUGGUUUGAGGCCUCUGGCUUCUGCUACUCUAUCAAUACUGGAACCUCACUGGGACUCCUCUUAAAUAUCUUGUUGUUGCCUUGUGUCAUAGGAUCCUGUAGUUUGGAUCUGUGGGACCGGCCUCUUCAUGAACUCCAGCAGUUUAUUGAUGGGGUAGAUGUUGGGGUGGGCCAAUUCUAAGCCCUAGAUCUAGGCCUAAUGGGUAUCUAAUAUGGUUAUCCUAUUGGCUGUCCAGCUCUCAUGCCCUCGGGGCUGACUCACCAGCAGCCCCUCCUAGGAGCUCUACUGUGCUGCCCAGGUGAGAUGCAGGGCCUGCUCUCCCAAGGGAUGCAGCAGGUGAUGGGCAGAGCCAGAUCUCUUACUCUGAGGAUCUUGGGACAGCUCUUCUGUUUGUACUUUUAAAAGGUAAAUGCUGUAAUGAACUAAUCUGCCAUCCAAGUAACUACUUGCCUUUGGUGGCAAAGGGUAGGGGCUGGACAGCUCUUCCUCACCUAUGCCACCAUAAUGGCAGACAAGUUGCUGGGCCAGCUCUCCCAUGCUCACACCCUCGAGCUAGCUCGCCUGCAUCACUAUCAAAAGGCCAAUCGUACUGUGCUGCCGAGAUGAAGUGCAGGGCCUGCUCUUCUUAGUGCUGCAGCAGGUGAGGGACAGCUAUUCUGUCUCAUGACUCUGUUGGGACCAACUCUUCAGCCUGGUGUAGAUGCUGAGGGUAAAAUGGAGGACAAGGGGUCUCUCCCUCACUGAAGCCACCACAUAGCAGGCAAGGGGCAGGGCCUUGUUGUUGUUGUCGUCGUCGUU